rnacentral:rRNA from 1 species
AUUGAACGCUGGCGGCAGGCCUAACACAUGCAAGUCGAACGAGUGGCGGACGGGUGAGUAAUGUCUGGGAAACUGCCUGAUGGAGGGGGAUAACUACUGGAAACGGUAGCUAAUACCGCAUACCAUCAGAUGUGCCCAGAUGGGAUUAGCUUGUCGGUGGGGUAAUGGCUCACCUAGGCGACGAUCCCUAGCUGGUCUGAGAGGAUGACCAGCCACACUGGAACAGAGACACGGUCCAGACUCCUACGUGAGGCAGCAGUGGGGAAUAUUGCACAAUGGGCGCAAGCCUGAUGCAGCCAUGGCGCGUGUGUGAAGAAGGCCUUCGGGUUGUAAAGCACUUUCAGCGGGGAGGCGUUACGCGCAGAAGAAGCACCGGCUAACUCCGUGCCAGCAGCCGCGGUAAUUC